ensembl:snoRNA
AAGACUAUACUUUUAGGGAUCAUUUCUAUAGUUUGUAACUAGAGAAAUGUGUUUCUGAAGUGUUCGGUCUCGCCAACCACGAUGAGGAGUGGUAGUGUUUUCUUCUGAGCGCGAAGCGGGUAGUGAAUGCUCUUUCAUUAGAGCUGUUCGCUAUCUUUGAUGACCGUUCCGCUGCUUUUCGAAGUAGCAGGAGGAAGAAAACACAUGCUGAGUGGUU